rnacentral:rRNA from 1 species
CACGUAGGGGGCAAGCGUUGUCCGGAAUCAUUGGGCGUAAAGCGCUCGUAGGCGGCUCAGUAAGUCGGGUGUGAAACCCUCAGGCUCAACCUGGGGACGCCACCCGAUACUGCUGUGGCUAGAGUCCAGUAGGGGAGUGUGGAAUUCCCGGUGUAGCGGUGAAAUGCGCAGAUAUCGGGAGGAACACCAGCGGCGAAGGCGGCACUCUGGGCUGGUACUGACGCUGAGGAGCGAAAGCGUGGGUAGCAAACAGG